rnacentral:rRNA from 1 species
CAGUAGCCGCGGUAAAACGAAGGGUGCAAGCGUUACUCGGAAUUACUGGGCGUAAAGCGUGCGUAGGUGGUGGUUUAAGUCCGUUGUGAAAGCCCUGGGCUCAACCUGGGAAUUGCAGUGGAUACUGGGUCACUAGAGUGUGGUAGAGGAUAGUGGAAUUUCCGGUGUAGCAGUGAAAUGCGUAGAGAUCGGAAGGAACAUCUGUGGCGAAGGCGACUAUCUGGGCCAACACUGACACUGAGGCACGAAAGCGUGGGGAGCAAACAGGAUUAGAUACCCCAGUAGUCCCUGUCUCUUAUAC